GACGAACGCUGGCGGCGUGCUUAACACAUGCAAGUCGAACGGAAAGGCCCUGCUUUGGUGGGUUGCUCGAGGGGCGAACGGGUGAGUAACACGUGAGUAACCUGCCCUGGACUUUGGGAUAACUUCAGGAAACUGGAGCUAAUACCGGAUAGGAGCUCCUGCGGCAUGGUGGGGGGUGGAAAGUUUCGGCGGUUGGGGAUGGACUCGCGGCUUAUCAGCUUGUUGGUGGGGUGGUGGCUUACCAAGGCUUUGACGGGUAGCGGGCCUGAGAGGGUGACCGGCCACAUUGGGAGUGAGAUGCGGCCCAGACUACUACGGGAGGCAGCAGUGGGGAAUAUUGCACAAUGGGCGGAAGAAUGAUGAAGCAACGCCGCGUGCGGGAUGACGGACUUCGGGUUGUCAACCGCUUUCGCCUCUGACGAAGCGUGAGUGACGGUAAUGGGUAAAGAAGCACCGGCUAACUCCGUG
rnacentral:rRNA from 1 species